AAUCAACGCUGGCGGCGUGCCUAACACAUGCAAGUCGAACGCGAAAGCCCCGCAAGGGGUAAGUAGAGUGGCCAACGGGUGAGUAACACGUGGGUGACCUGCCUUCGAGUGGGGGAUAACGUCCCGAAAGGGACGCUAAUACCGCAUGACAUCCUGCUUUUGAAAAAGCGGAGAUCAAAGCUGGGGAUCGCAAGACCUAGCGCUUGAAGAGGGGCCCGCGCCUGAUUAGCUAGUUGGUGAGGUAACGGCUCACCAAGGCGACGAUCAGUAUCCGGCCUGAGAGGGCGGACGGACACACUGGGACUGAGACACGGCCCAGACUCCUACGGGAGGCAGCAGUGGGGAAUUGUUCGCAAUGGGCGCAAGCCUGACGACGCAACGCCGCGUGGAGGACGAAGAUCUUCGGGUCGUAAACUCCUGUCGAGCGGGACGAACGCUUCGCGGAUGAAUAAGCCGCGGAAUUGACGGUACCGCUAAAGGAAGCCCCGGCUAACUCCGUG
rnacentral:rRNA from 1 species